CCGAGCGCCGGGCGGGAGCGGGAGGGCUGAGGCCGUGGGGUGAGGGGAAGUGAGGGAGUUUUAUCGCCCCGGGGGCUGGCAGGGAGCACAGGCAGGGUCGCGGCUGCCUGAGCUCCCCAGAUAAAUGUUAAUGUGGGACGCAGACGCUUGGCGUGGCUUCUCGUCCCCUUUCUGGGUGCCGGGGGGGACUGAACAACGGGCCGGCCUUUAAGGCCGGUGGCAGGCUCUCUCGCCUACCGAGUAGCUCCUCGUGUUUUCCUGUGCUGUGCCGGGUGCAGCUUCUGUAGAGUGCUCGUUUUUCAGGCCUGCUCUGAACACCUCGAGCUCCCGCAACAUCUUCUUAUGCCUGGGAAUGACCUGAACAAACACUGCUUUUUGUUCCCUUACACCCUGUGAACUGCUGAAUGUCAGCUUUUGUUCUCUGCAUACAAAACACUUCCGUGCAGAUAAGCAUAGCAUUGUGAUUCACCCAGCAGGUGAAGAUAAUGCUGUCUCUGGGGAAGGUGCCGGAAAGCUUGAGGUUUUGAGGUUUGAUUCUUUUUUGUUAGCAGUUCUUUUCUUUCCAAACAUGACACUCCGGAAGAGCUGUCUUCAUGUGAAAAUCUUUUAUCCUGAUGAGAAAAUGCUAGCUAAGAAUGUUUUAAUAUCUGAAAGCCAGUUUUCUCUGUACCAACUAAUUAGAAAGCAUAUAUGUGGGUGCAUUAUAAAGCAAAUAUGUGGAAGAAAACACUUUGCUCUGAGGCUGGUCAAACACUGACUUAUGUUGCAUAGAGAGAUUGUGGGGUUUCCGUCGUUGGAGAUGGCCAAAACCUGGCUGGACAUGGUCCUGGAUGACACUGCUUGAGCAGGGGGGUUAGGCCACAGAGCCCAGAGGUGCCCUCCAACCCCAACUGUUGUGUGAUUCUGUGCAAUUUGGUGUUGAACAAUUGUUUUAAGACUUCACUGGGUUUUUUUUCAUCAGUAGGGGAGGGAAAGCAAAAUGGUGUUUUCCCCAUUGAAGAUAACUUUAGCAUUGACAAUGUGGAGUAACAGUGGCUUUGGUUAUGUGGUAGGCCGUGUAGUGCUGUCCUACCCCUUUUAUUACUUAGGGCCCAAAGCGCUCGAGACGUGAACUUUAUAAACUUGGAACUUGCAAUUA